GAGAGGACCGGGAUGGACGUACCUCUGGUGUACCAGUUGUUCUGCCAAGGGCAUGGCUGGGUAGCUAUGUACGGAAUGGAUAAGCGCUGAAAGCAUCUAAGCGCGAAGCCAACUUCAAGAUAAGAUUUCCCACCGCAAGGGUAAGACUCCAGAAAGACUAUCUGGUUGAUAGGUCGAAGGUGUAAGUGCAGCAAUGUAUUUAGCUUAUCGAUACUAAUAGGUCGAGGACUUGACCAAU
rnacentral:rRNA from 1 species